UACAGGGGGGGCGAGCGUUGUUCGGAAUUACUGGGCGUAAAGGGCGCGUAGGCGGCCCGCUAAGUCGAACGUGAAAUCCCCAGGCUCAACCUGGGAACUGCGUCCGAUACUGGCAGGCUUGAAUCCGGGAGAGGGAUGUGGAAUUCCAGGUGUAGCGGUGAAAUGCGUAGAUAUCUGGAGGAACACCGGUGGCGAAGGCGGCAUCCUGGACCGGUAUUGACGCUGAGGCGCGAAAGCUAGGGGAGCAAACGGG
rnacentral:rRNA from 1 species